rnacentral:lncRNA from 1 species
UACCCUUCUAAAUGAAAGUAUAAAUAAAAUAAAUUGCUAAAAGAAAGUAGACUGUGACAUUAAAAAUUCAUGAAUGCACCAAAGUUGAAUGUACUAUUUAACUAUUUUGUUUUAAUUUAGUAGCUUGCAUAUUCUUCCAUUAUAUUUAGAAAAAAAAAAUUGUAGAUGGAAAGAGGUUAUCUUCAUCCUCUUUUGUACUUAAACACAUAUAUGAAUGCGGGCUCCAUCUAAUUUUUUAUUUAGUCCUUAGAAAAAAAAUAACUGUUAUAUAUCUUUUACUUUCUUAUAUAAUCACACAAUCUAGAAAUAGUUAAAUCUAUUAUUAACUAGUAAUUUUAAAAUCAGAAAAAAUAAAAUAAAUAUUUUUUUCAAGAAAAUUUAAAUCAACCCAUUUAUUUUAAGGUAAAGAAUGAAACAAAUACUUCUAUAAAGAGAAUCUAAAUCAAUCUACCUUUUUUUUGGUGGGGUCCUAGUUGUUGGCCUCCUUCUUACUAGAAGACAAUGGAGAAAAUCCU